UUUAUGGAGAGUUUGAUCCUGGCUCAGGAUGAACGCUGGCGGCGUGCCUAAUACAUGCAAGUCGAGCGAACGGACGAGAAGCUUGCUUCUCUGAUGUUAGCGGCGGACGGGUGAGUAACACGUGGAUAACCUACCUAUAAGACUGGGAUAACUUCGGGAAACCGUAGCUAAUACCGGAUAAUAUUUUGAACCGCAUGGUUCAAAAGUGAAAGACGGUCUUGCUGUCACUUAUAGAUGGAUCCGCGCUGCAUUAGCUAGUUGGUAAGGUAACGGCUUACCAAGGCAACGAUGCAUAGCCGACCUGAGAGGGUGAUCGGCCACACUGGAACUGAGACACGGUCCAGACUCCUACGGGAGGCAGCAGUAGGGAAUCUUCCGCAAUGGGCGAAAGCCUGACGGAGCAACGCCGCGUGAGUGAUGAAGGUCUUCGGAUCGUAAAACUCUGUUAUUAGGGAAGAACAUAUGUGUAAGUAACUGUGCACAUCUUGACGGUACCUAAUCAGAAAGCCACGGCUAACUACGUGCCAGCAGCCGCGGUAAUACGUAGGUGGCAAGCGUUAUCCGGAAUUAUUGGGCGUAAAGCGCGCGUAGGCGGUUUUUUAAGUCUGAUGUGAAAGCCCACGGCUCAACCGUGGAGGGUCAUUGGAAACUGGAAAACUUGAGUGCAGAAGAGGAAAGUGGAAUUCCAUGUGUAGCGGUGAAAUGCGCAGAGAUAUGGAGGAACACCAGUGGCGAAGGCGACUUUCUGGUCUGUAACUGACGCUGAUGUGCGAAAGCGUGGGGAUCAAACAGGAUUAGAUACCCUGGUAGUCCACGCCGUAAACGAUGAGUGCUAAGUGUUAGGGGUUUCCGCCCUUAGUGCUGCAGCUAACGCAUUAAGCACUCCGCCUGGGGAGUACGACCGCAAGGUUGAAACUCAAAGGAAUUGACGGGGACCCGCACAAGCGGUGGAGCAUGUGGUUUAAUUCGAAGCAACGCGAAGAACCUUACCAAAUCUUGACAUCCUUUGACAACUCUAGAGAUAGAGCCUUCCCUUCGGGGACAAAGUGACAGGUGGUGCAUGGUUGUCGUCAGCUCGUGUCGUGAGAUGUUGGGUUAAGUCCCGCAACGAGCGCAACCCUUAAGCUUAGUUGCCAUCAUUAAGUUGGGCACUCUAAGUUGACUGCCGGUGACAAACCGGAGGAAGGUGGGGAUGACGUCAAAUCAUCAUGCCCCUUAUGAUUUGGGCUACACACGUGCUACAAUGGACAAUACAAAGGGCAGCGAAACCGCGAGGUCAAGCAAAUCCCAUAAAGUUGUUCUCAGUUCGGAUUGUAGUCUGCAACUCGACUACAUGAAGCUGGAAUCGCUAGUAAUCGUAGAUCAGCAUGCUACGGUGAAUACGUUCCCGGGUCUUGUACACACCGCCCGUCACACCACGAGAGUUUGUAACACCCGAAGCCGGUGGAGUAACCUUUUAGGAGCUAGCCGUCGAAGGUGGGACAAAUGAUUGGGGUGAAGUCGUAACAAGGUAGCCGUAUCGGAAGGUGCGGCUGGAUCACCUCCUUUCU
rnacentral:rRNA from 1 species